UGAUGAUCAAAACAAACUUGAAGAAAUACUCAAAAAUUGUAAACACAAACACUAAUGUAAAACACCCUGACACACACAAUAACGUUGAAAUGAAAUAUGAAAAGCAAUGGUGGAAGACAGCAAAACAAUGUGCCCGAAUUCGACCAGCGCAGAAUAUAGCGGAUUAUCCGACGCACAAACCGUCAAACUUAGUCGGACCAAGUCGAAGUGAGUACACUGAGAAAAACGUGACCACGAAAAUCUAGAAUUAACUAUUGACUCUUCCAGAAACAGACCAUUUUUUCAUAUGACAUUUUCACGUUAUACAAAACCAAUCUUGACGAAAAAACAGUAGCAAAUCGAACCCUUGAAAAAGAUCCCAAACGGAUCGAAACGUCGGGAAAGAUUUAAACAA